rnacentral:rRNA from 1 species
UACGGAGGGGGCUAGCGUUGUUCGGAAUUACUGGGCGUAAAGCGCGCGUAGGCGGACCUGCAAGUCGGGGGUGAAAGCCCGAGGCUCAACCUCGGAACUGCCUUCGAUACUGCGGGUCUCGAGUCCGGGAGAGGUGAGUGGAAUUCCUAGUGUAGAGGUGAAAUUCGUAGAUAUUAGGAAGAACACCAGUGGCGAAGGCGGCUCACUGGCCCGAUACUGACGCUGAGGCACGAAAGCGUGGGGAGCAAGCAGG